rnacentral:rRNA from 1 species
GUCCACGCCGUAAACGGUGGAUGCUGGAUGUGGGGCCCGUUCCACGGGUUCCGUGUCGGAGCUAACGCGUUAAGCAUCCGCCUGGGGAGUACGGCCGCAAGGCUAAAACUCAAAGAAAUUGACGGGGGCCCCGCACAAGCGGCGGAGCAUGCGGAUUAAUUCGAUGCAACGCGAAGAACCUUACCUGGGCUUGACAUGUUCCCGACAGCCGUAGAGAUGCGGCCUCCCUUCGGGGCGGGUUCACAGGUGGUGCAUGGUCGUCGU